rnacentral:rRNA from 1 species
GUGGAGCAUGUGGCUUAAUUUGACUCAACGCGGGGAAUCUUACUAGGUCCGGACCGAUUCUAUGAUCGUCGUACUGUGGGGUGCUACGUGAUUACUGGAUGAGUGGUGCAUGGCCGUUCUUAGUUCGUGGUGUUAAUUGUCUACUUAAUUGUCAUCAGUUUAAUACAUGUAUUGAACUAUGAACGAACGAGAUCGAGACCCGUGGUUGCGUGUGUUUGAAUUCGGUAUUACUACGGGGAUCGCGUAUUACUCCACGGUACGAUCGAAAGACUCGGCAAUAACAGGUCUGUGAUGCCCUCAGAUGUUCUAGGCUGCACACGUGCUACAGUGUGGUUCUGUUCAUAUGUGUAUGCGUAGACUUGAGAUCCCCCGCACCGAGUCAUAACUGGUCACACGGUUGGACUCACCGAUUGCAAUUAUUCUGUAUCUUAA